rnacentral:rRNA from 1 species
UAUCUCUGUAGAGUCUGCAUAUCAAUAAGCGGAGGAAAAGAAACUAACUAGGAUUCCCUCAGUAACGGCGAGUGAAGCGGGAAGAGCUCAAAUUUGAAAUCUUCAAGGUUCUACCUUGACGAAUUGUAGUUUAAAGAAGUGUUUUCUGUUGGAGUUUUGGUAAAAGUUCUUUGGAAUAGGACAUCAUAGAGGGUGAGAAUCCCGUAUUUGACCAUUAUUUCCAGCUUUGUGAUACACUUUCAAAGAGUCGGAUUGUUUGGGAAUGCAGUCCAAAAUGGGUGGUAAAUUUCAUCUAAAGCUAAAUAUUGGCGAGAGACCGAUAGCGAACAAGUACCGUGAGGGAAAGAUGAAAAGAACUUUGAAAAGAGAGUUAAACAGUACGUGAAAUUGUCAAAAGGGAAGCGUUUGACACCAGUGUUGUUUUCUCGAAAAUCAAUUAAAAAAGGCAGGAUUUUGUGUUGUAUUGACUUUAUCAGCUUUCUGCACUCUUUUCUUGUCUUUUUUAAUGCACUUUUCGUUUAACAAGUCAACAUCAAUUUCUUUUGUUGUAAAAGGGUCAUUGGAAGGUGGCUUUCUUUUCGGAGAAAGUGUUUAUAGCCUAUGGCUUCUGCAAUCGGAGAGAUUGAGGUCUGCAGCGUAGAUCCUUCGGGGCUAGAUACAUUAGAUGCUAAGUUAUAGCUUUUAUAGACAACUUGUUGACUAUGAUUAAGUCAUGUAGCUUACUCGCUUAUGCGCUAUUUUACCUACGCUUAGGAUGUUGACGAUCAGCUGAGCGCG